rnacentral:lncRNA from 1 species
UGGGCGACCCAGAACAGAAAGUAUUCCCGCAUUUUACUGGUGUGCGACCUAGAACAGAAAGUACUCCCGCAUUUUACUGGUGUGCGACCUAGAACAGAAAGUACUCCCGCAUUUUACUGGUGGGCGACCUAGAACAGAAAGUAUUCCCGCAUUUUACUGGUGGGCGACCUAGAACAGAAAGUAUUCCCGCAUUUUACUGGUGGGCGACCUAGACCAGAAAGUAUUCCCGCAUUUUACUGGUGUGCGACCUAGAACAGAAAGUACUCCCGCAUUUUACUGGUGGGCGACCUAGAACAGAAAGUAUUCCCGCAUUUUACUGGUGGGAGACCUAGAACAGAAAGUAUUCCCGCAUUUUACUGGUGGGCGACCUAGAACAGAAAGUAUUCCCGCAUUUUACUGGUGGGCGACCUAGAACAGAAAGUAUUCCCGCAUUUUACUGGUGGGCGACCUAGAACAGAAAGUAUUCCCGCAUUUUACUGGUGGGCGACCUAGAACAGAAAGUGUUCCCGCAUUUUACUGGUGGGCGACCUAGAACAGAAAGUGUUCCCGCAUUUUACUGGUGGGCGACCCAGAACAGAAAGUGUUCCCGCAUUUUACUGGUGGGCGACCUAGAACAGAAAGUAUUCCCGCAUUAUACAGGUGGGCGACCUAGAACAGAAAGUACUCCCGCAUUUUACUGGUGGGCGUCCUAGAACAGAAGUAUUCCCGCAUUUUACUGGUGGGCGACCUAGAACAUAAAGUAUUCCCGCAUUUUACUGGUGGGCGAUCUAGAACAUAAAUUAUUCCCGCAUUUUACUGGUGGUCAACCUAGAACAUAAUGUAUUCCCGCAUUUUACUGGUGGACGACCUAGAACAUAAAGUAUUCCC